rnacentral:rRNA from 1 species
GACGAACGCUGGCGGCGUGCUUAACACAUGCACGUCGAACGGAGUGGCGACCGGGUGAUUAACACGUGGGUGACCUGCCCUGCACUUCGGGAUAAGCCUGGGAAACUGGGUCUACUACCGGAUAGUGGGGGAUGGGCCCGCGGCCUAUCAUCUUGUUGGUGGGGUAAUGGCCUACCAAGGCGGCGACGGGUAGCCGGCCUUGUAGGGUGGACGGCCAAAUUGGGACUGAGAUACGGCCCAGACUCCUACGGGAGGCAGCAGUGGGGAAUAUUGCACAAUGGGCGGAAGCCUGAUGCAGCGACGCCGCGUGGGGGAUGAAGGCCUUCGGGUUGUAAACUACUUUCACCAUCGACGCGGUAGAUGGAGAAGAAGCACCGGCUAACUACGUGCCAGCAGCCGCGGUAAUUC